CUUUACUGUAGCUUGGAAUUGAGUUUGAGUUUAUUUUGCGCAGUAUAGGUGGGAGGCUAAGAUAAUAAGCUUGAGGGUUUAUUGGAGCCAAUAGUGAGAUACCACUCUAAGUAAACUAGAAUUCUAACCUUGAUAGUCGUUAGCCGGCCAAGGAACAGUUUCAGGUGGGCAGUUUGACUGGGGCGGUCGCCUCCUAAAAGGUAACGGAGGCGUGCAAAGGUUCCUUCAGGCUGGUCGGAAAUCAGUCGUAGAGUAUAAAGGCAUAAGGGAGCUUGACUGCAAGACCUACAAGUCGAGCAGGGACGAAAGUCGGCCUUAGUG
rnacentral:rRNA from 1 species